rnacentral:rRNA from 1 species
AUGGGUGCCACACAUCCAGUACCAGGCGACGGAGACAGCAUCUGCAGUUGGAGGUGGCUCUUUUUCCCUCUAGUUAGGGUUUCGCCGAGUUCUCCCGGGGCGAUCUUCGCCGCCGUCGAGCGUUUGUUUCCCUACCACCGAUCAAGCCCCGUUUCUUCGAUGCGGCAAGGAGGGGACGGCCUCCCAGGGCUGUCGUCUCACCCGUGGGCAAGGAAGGGGUCGGCGGAAACUAGGGUUCCCCAUCAAGCUACCCGAUCUGUUCUUCGGGUGAGAUUAUUCAUGGAGAAUUCCGGAGCUAGUUCCUCCGGGAUCAGUGAUGUCGAGCAGAUGAUGAAGGAGUUGGGACUGAAGGAGGAGGACUUGGACGAUGUGGUCUUCGAUGAGCAACCUGCGCCGCCGGAGGGGCCGAGAUGGGUAGCCCUAGCUAGGGUUAACACCUCCAAAACCUACAGCCAGACUUGGUUCUUCAGAAACAUGAGAUCGGCAUGGGAUAUUGCGCAAGAGGCCAGGUUCAAGCCUCUGGAGGAAAACUUGUAUACGGUCACAUUCACUUGCUUGGGUGACUGGGAGAGAGUUAUGAACGAUGGCCCAUGGAAUUUCAGCGCCGGUGAAGUUCCAACGAAGCAUCGACGGCGCCCGGCGGAGCUCCAUUGCAGCGUCGGUUAUGCUUCCAGCGACCCGUCGUUGCUCCAUUGCAACACCGACGGCCUCCCAACAGCUUCAAGGCGACAUCGCCGGAGUUGCAGCAGCAACGGCUCCGACGAUGCUCAAUUGUAG